GUUGGGAUUGAUUUUGGGGGUAAUUGUCACAAUAGAUUAGGAAUUAGGGGCCAAAAAGGGGGCCCAAAAUAAUCAGCAUUUUUGUAGUUUUCAAACAAUAACUAAAAUAUGUUUAAGUAAAAUAAAAUUGAGAAAGGAAAUGGUGAAUAUGUCAAAGCGACAACCACCCGACCAUAGAGCAAACAACAGCCGAAGGCAACCAAUGGGUCUUAAAUGUAGCGAGAAUUCCCGCACCCGUAGGUGUCCUUCAGCUGGUCCCUAAAAAUAUGCAUAAUAAUACAGUGAUAAUGGACGUCAUACUAAACUCCGAAUUAUACACAAGAAACUAAAAUUUAAAAUCAUACAAUACUAACAAAGGCCAGAGGCUCCUGACUUGGGACAGGCGCAAAAUUGCGGCGUGGUUAAACAUGUUUAUGAGAUCUCAACCCUCCCCCUAUACCUCUAGCCAAUGUAGAAAAGUAAAAGAAUAACAAUACGCACAUUAAAAUUCAGUUCAAGAGAAGUCCGAGUCUGAUGUCAAAAGAUGUAACAAAAGAAAAUAAAUAAAAUGACAAUAAUACAUAAAUAACAACA
rnacentral:lncRNA from 1 species